CUUAUUCCGAACGCCGUGCCUUCUGUGCACACGCAUCUCUCUGCCUGCCCUGCCCCGAGACCGAGAGGCACCAAGAUCAGUGCCGCCAGCCGCAAGCGAGAGCUGGCUAUGGUAAGCCUCAUGGUAAUGUUUACAAGCUGUGCGUUAGCUAGCCCUGUGUAUACUAUAUACCGUAUUCCCUUUGACACCGCCUCCACUACAGUCGUGACUCAUGAUCAGUCUGACAUUAGAAAAGAACAUUUCGUGAUUCAUGAAUAUGAACCAAAACAAAAUUGUCCUGAAGUAAAUGUCCAAAAGCUUGUCAUAUCUAACUAGAAAGCGCCAUGGCUAGUGUUUGGAUCACUGGCGCUCAUCAAGCGGCUUUCACAACAGUGUGUGUGUGUUCUAUUUAGUUGAUGGAUUUAAUUGCCCUUUUCCUGAUGGAAAGUGACUAUUACGGUCCUCUUUCAUAUGUAUUUAGACGUGACUGUGUCACUGACGCUAAUUUAUUUACGCAAGAUGUUGACAGAUGCCUCACCGUGUGAGACCACGGACAGUGUCAAUGCUGCUACGGUAGAGGACCCCUUGCUCUACUCCACUUGUGACACUGGGACACAAUGUAUUUUGAAGCCCCUUGGAAGGUCUCACGCUGUGCAAGUGAACCUGAAGCCCAAGAUGGUCAGCAUGGGGACACAAACUUUCACCCCCCUCACUAGUCCUGACCCAACGGAUGGAGAAGAUGAUCUCUCUGUCAUCAGUGAUGCAUCAUGGGUACCAGGAGACCAGAUGUCUGAGGAGGAUGAGGAGGUGUUGUGUGAGGAGCCAUCUCAAACUUGUGACCCCCACCAAAAUGGCAUUGACAAAUUCAUUGUUUGCCAAGAGGAGCUCAUGGCCCUGUUUGCCAUCUGUCCGGCCUGUUGUGAGAAGUCAGAUAGUAGAAUCGUGCAGCAGGAAGGAACAUUUGUUAAAAUAGAGCAGGUCUGUGCAUGUGGCUACCAGCGUUUCUGGCAAAACCAGCCGAUCCUAAACAGGAAUAUGCCAACCUGUAACCUCCUUUUAAGCGGGGCCAUCCAUUUCUCUGGAUGUUUGGCCACCCAGACAUUACGGAUGAUGACCCUGUUUGGCCUUCAGUGCAUCAGCGCAAGCACUUUCUUUCGCCAUCAGCGCCG